CAACUUUUAACAACGGAUCUCUUGGCUCUCGCAUCGAUGAAGAACGCAGCGAAAUGCGAUAAGUAAUGUGAAUUGCAGAAUUCAGUGAAUCAUCGAAUCUUUGAACGCACCUUGCGCUCUCUGGUAUUCCGGGGAGCACACCUGUUCGAGUGUCAUUG
rnacentral:rRNA from 1 species